rnacentral:lncRNA from 1 species
GAAAGACGCUGAACAAAUCCCUGUCAGCUGCACAGGUGUCUUUGUAACACAUUGCCAGUUAGCGUGACAAUGCACGGGAAGCAGCUAUGCUCCAGGUUGUGCUCCAGCUGCUCAGCAUUGACCCUGCCCCAUGCCCUCUGAAGAAGCAGCUUUGCCGAAAGUGGAGGGCCAGCAAAGAAGGAAACUGAAAGCAGGUGUCCAGGUGAUGAAAUUGGCACAGAACACCAAAGGAUGGAGCUGAGAUUCAUGCCUGGGCUGCCUCCCCACAAUCCCCUCACGUUGAAUCCAACCCUGACUUUUGUGUCCCACCGAGGAAAGAAGAAAGCCACCCACCCCAGUGACCAUGGCCUCUAACUGCUCUCUCUGCCUGUGGAAAGCCAGUGGAUUGGGCUAGGACACAAAUGCCUUCCAUCGAUUUUCCUUUCAGCUUUUAUUGGGCACUGUUCAUGGGACUCUUUAAACAUCAGUGUGGUUUCCCAUGGCCUUCUGAGGAGCUGUAAAACUUCUUUCCUUGCCAUUCAAGUUCAAUUCUGGCCUCAAUAGAUUCUAUCUUGUUUUAUGCUUUUAAUGGAAUUCAAGUUUACAGAAUAAAAUGAAUCAUUAUUCUUGAUUCAUGAUACAUGCUCAUCUUUGCUCCAUACUUGACUCUCCUGCUGUCUUGUAUUUUAUUUCAUUUAUUUACUAAUUUGUUUUUAGUAAUAUAAUGAAAACCAAGAUUCAUACCACUCAACCCAAGAAUUUCAGCACUGGCCACUAAAGUCUAUAUGCCCUUCUGGCUUUAUUUCUCCACUCAGACGGGUAGCCUCCAGCCUGAAUCAGGCAUUAUGGUUCUCUUGAUGUUUUUAGUGUACAGUGUUAGCAAGGGUGUGUAUGUGUGUGUGAGCCUGAACAAUAUAUUGUUUAGAUUUGGUAGCUUUGUAUUCUUAAAAGCUAUUCUCUAAGCUGUAGUUAUCACCAUUUAGCCUCCAUACAGUAGGAUCUAAGAAUAUGGAACUUAUUAGAAAUGCUAAUUCUUGAGUCCCACCCCAGACCUACUGAAUUGGAAAUUCUGAUUUGCAUUUCUCUGAUUACUAAUAAGGUUAACAACCUUUUAAUUUCCUGACUGGAUGUUUGUGCUUCCUCUUCUCUGAAAUGCCUCACAGACAUUUGCCGAGAGUUUUUAAGUUGUAUUGUUUAUCAUUUACUGAUUGAUUUUAGGAGUUCUUGAUGCAUUUUUGACAGGAAUUCUUUCAGGUUAAAUGCAUUGAGAAUAUUGUCUUCCAGGUAAUAGCUUCUGUUUUCAAUUUCUUUGUGCUGUCUUAUGAUGAGUGGGAUUUGUAAUUUUCAUAGAAUCAAGUGUUUUGCUCUUUUUUUGUGGUUGCCACAUUUUGAGUCUUCUUUAAGAAUUGUUUUCCUUACCCCAAGGAUAGAAACACCUAUAUAUUUUCUACUAAAGGCUUGAAAGUGUUUGCUUUUGACACAUAAGUCCUAAGGCCUUUCAGAAUUGCCUUGUAUGUGGUAUAAAGUUGGGAUCCAUGUUCACUGUAUUUUCCAAAUGAAUAGUCACUUUUUCCUGGCUACAUUUGUUGAAUAGCUCCCCCUUUUCCCCGUGAUGUCCUGUGACUCUUCUGUCAAAAGUUCAAGCUUCACAACUGUGUGUGGUUGUUUUUGGGCCAUCUAUUCUAUUACAUCAGCCAAUGUGUAUAUUUUUACACCAUCAACAACUGCCUUAAUUACACUCACUUCAUAGUAAAUGUUUAUAUCUGGUAAUCAAGUUCCCUUUCCAGAUGUGUGUCUACUGUUUCUAUUGGAAUUUUCAUUGAGCUUGUUUUGAACCGAUGGUCACUGUGGGGAGAAUUCCCACUUCCAGCGCUCUCUCCCGAGACUUCUUCCAGGAACCCGAGCUCUCAGUUCAAUUGACCGUCCUUGUUUCAAGCCUUUGCUCACGCUCCCUCUUGCUAAGCCCACCCCACCUCGCAAUUUAGAGCACACCCUGCUCUCUCCACUCUCACACUUCAAUGCUCGGCUCUGCCUCCUUCCCGAACCUUUUUCUAACAGCUCAAACCCUCGGGAUCCCCCCAUCCCAUUGAAAAGGGACAGUGCCUGUUGAAAGGAAGCUCUGUUAAAUGUUAGUUGUUAUAAUGAUUAUCAGACUAGUUUCUCCAUUCGCUGCGAACUUUUUUAAAGGUAAUUUAUUUUGAAUUUUUUCUUAAACAUUUCCUAAGAAUGACUAUAAUUCUUCAAAUUGUCUCUUAUUUUUCUAAAGCCAUAGCAAAGAGGAGGAACCGGUGACUUUCUAGAGGAAUUCCUGGCAGGACACCCCCGCCCAGCAGGAGCUCUGGGGUUGUGGCGGUGGACAGGCUGCCACUGGCCAAUGUCUCGUCUGAACUCAGCUGAUGGCUUUCUCCAGAUUCCCACCUUCAUAGAUUUGGGAUGAUUUUGAGGGAGAAUCUGGUCCAUAUAUAACCAGUCCUUUUUAAGUGAAUUUUCUCUGCGUAUGAUGUAUAAAGUCCCAAAUUAAAGAACUUGGAGAAGUUUUAUGGAUCAGUUUAUGGCUGCAUGAAAGUUGACUCUUUAAAAAUGUGUGGCCUUUGGUUCUCGUAAUAUUUGUUCUGUUUGUUUCUGUUCAAGUUACUAAUAAAAAUUAAUAAAUUGGCUAUUCUUGAGUCUUUGGAAACUGGUUGUGUUUCCAAAACAAAUACACCUGCCUGUGAUCAUCAUAAAAGUGAUCUAUCCAGAAUUAUCUGAGGUUGUAAAUGUUAAGAAGAAAAGACAAAAUUUAAAGCAUCAAAAGGCUCUAUGGAAACAAACUGCUCAGUAAUCUGUGUUUUUGAGAUGCAUUUAAUGAUCCAGAGUUAAAAUGCCAAAGUCAUUUUGUUUUCCUCAAUGUAGAAAUAAAUUACUUGGGAAAAGAGAGAG